rnacentral:rRNA from 1 species
UUUUUAAUGAGCUUUAUCCUGGCUCAGAAAGAACGCUAAUAGAUAUGCUUUACACAUGCUAGUUGAUUGUAUUGCAUUUUUUUUGCUUUGUAGCAUGGCGAAAGGGUGAGUAAUGUAUGAGAACUUUCCUAUAUGAUGAUUUAUUGUCUAUAGAUGGGCUUAUAUAAGAUUAGGUAGUUGGUGGGGUAAUGGCUCACCAAGCCGGGGAUCUUUAGCUGGUUUGUGAGAACGUACAGCCACAGUGGGGGUGAGAAGAGACCCACCUUUCAAUUGAAGGCAGCAGUGGGGAAUCUUGGACAAUGAGGGUAACCUUGAUCCAGCGAUAUCGAGUGGAGUAUGAAGAGCUUAGCUAGACAACUCCGGAGCCGUAUUUUUAAUAAUGAUAAUGGUACGGAUGAAAGUCCCGGCAAAUAUCCAUGCCAGCAGCCGCGGUAAUUUGGAUGGGGCGAGCGUUUUUCGGAAUUACUGGGCAUAAAGGGUGCGUAGGCGGGUAUGAAUUUUAUUAUUAUGUGGUGCAUAUAUCAAAUCUGUACUCUUUUAAUAAUUCAACCUUUUUUGUAUGAAUAAGCGAGAGGUUUUUGGAAUUUUCGAGGGAGGCUUAACCCCCAUCGAUCUCUUAAGGAACUGUAAUGGCGAAAGCAUUUAACUGGCGCUUAUUGACGCUGAGGCACGUAGGUGUGGGUAGCGAAAGAGAUUAGAGACCUCUGUAGUCCACUACUGUUAACGAUGAGCAGGCUGUAGGCCAAAUUUGGAGGUUCCUACGAAAGAUAAUUCUUACUGUUCCGCCUGGGGAGUACGGUCGCAAGGCUGAAACUUAAAGGAAGUGACGGGGACUGAUAUACGCGGUGGAGCAUGUGGUAUAAUUCGAUACUCCGCGAUAAACCUUACCAGUUUUUGAUAAAUUCAGGUGUUGCAUGGCUGCCGAAAGCCCGAUGCAAUAAUGUUUCUAGUUAACUCUGCUAACGGGCGCAAUCCUGAGCGUUUUUUAUAAUUUAGUUUUAUUUAACGCUUAUUCCAACUAAUUUCUAAUUAGCAAUGAUAUUGUGCGGUAACAGCCUAUAUAUAAAUUAUAUUAAUAAGUAUAUAAUUUAUUUUAUUUAUUAAUAUAAUAGAAAUUAGUUACUCAGAGGAGACCAGUUGAUAGCUGGCUCUUUUAUAAGGAUGACGCCAAGUCCUCAUGGCCCAUAUAAACUGGGCUACUCACGUGCUACAAUGGCCUAAAACAAUAAGAAUGCUACCUACAUAACACUAGUAAGCAAAUCCUAAAUUUGGCCUAAGUUCGGAUUGGACUUUGAAAAUAAGUCCACCAAGAUGGAAUCGCUAGUAAUCGUGGAUCAUCAUGCCACGGUGAAGCUAUGAAUCAGUUUUGUACACACCGCCCGUCACAUCUCGGAAAAGAUGUUCGCCUGAAGUGGAAUGGAGGGUUACGCAAAUAUAAUAAAUUAUUAUUAUAUUUUAAUAAUAAUAAUUGUAUUUAGCAGAAUCUGGAGGCAGUGGCGUAUUGACACUGUCAUGAAUUAAUUUAGCAUUUUUCUAGGGUCACUGAUUGACUGAGGUGAAGUCGUAACAAGGUAAUGGUAGGGGAACCUGUCGUUGGAGUAUUAUUUUC